rnacentral:rRNA from 1 species
CCCUUAGACGUUCUGGGCCGCACGCGCGCUACACUGACGAAGGCAACGAGCUUUCCUUUACCGAAAGGUACGGGUAAUCUUUUGAAACUUCGUCGUGCUGGGGAUAGAUCCUUGCAAUUUUUGAUCUUAAACGAGGAAUGCCUAGUAAGCGCAAGUCAUCAACUUGCGUUGAUUACGUCCCUGCCCUUUGUACACACCGCCCGUCGCUACUACCGAUUGAAUGGUUUAGUGAGGCCUUCGGAUCCGCGACUCGUUUGUGGAGAAGUUGGACAAACUCAGUCAUUGAGAGGAAGUAAAAGUCGUAACA